rnacentral:sRNA from 1 species
UUUUUUUCUUCUUCUUCUUUU